rnacentral:rRNA from 1 species
UCCGUAGGGUGCGAGCGUUACUCGGAAUUACUGGGCGUAAAGCGUGCGCAGGCGGUGAUGUAAGUCAGAUGUGAAAUCCCCGGGCUCAACCUGGGAACUGCAUUUGUGACUGCAUCGCUGGAGUGCGGCAGAGGGGGAUGGAAUUCCGCGUGUAGCAGUGAAAUGCGUAGAUAUGCGGAGGAACACCGAUGGCGAAGGCAAUCCCCUGGGCCUGCACUGACGCUCAUGCACGAAAGCGUGGGGAGCAAACAGG